rnacentral:lncRNA from 1 species
CCAUCAGAGAAGAGUGGUGUGUUGGACAUGUCUGAAAUAAAAGCUGAGAUGGUGGUGAUGCUCACAAGCCUGGUGUGUUGCUGUGAUUCAUCCUGUGCAAACUGGAACUCUGGUUCACAUCGCAUCUGGUCCUAAGCUCCACAGUUGAGUUGUCCCAUAAGUAGCCAGCACAAGGCAGGCAAGUACUUGUUAUCUUCAUGUCUUUACCUUUUCCUUUUAGACCUUUGAAAUACAGUAACACCAAUGUCUGCAGCUGCUUUUCCUCCAUACACUUCAGUUCUUGAGAACAAAGGAGCAACCACACAUAGGCCUUGACUGUUUGGGCCUCAGGCAUCCUGUGACAGUAUUCCUGGCUCUUCCAUCUAAAUGAGAUCUUACUCAAGUAGUUCUGCAUUGUUAACUAAGGCAAUCCCUGAAUCAAACAUGUUACUCUCAUCCUCCUAGCCCUUCCCCUGUCUGCUGUGAUUCAGUUUCUGGGCUGACCAGCCUAGAGCAGUGGACUCCCAAGUUUUGUGUGGAUGUAUUGGCAAGGGGGGUAACUCCUAGACAACUGCUUGAUCAGUCAGAUUGAGCAAUCAGAUGAUAUCUCCAAGGAACAGCUGAGAAACUGAAAGGGAUUGAGACUUACUUCAGAGGCAAGCUAUGAACAGGAAAGAUUUGGCUUUUAAGGGAUGUAACAGGAAGGACUUGGUAAAUUGG